CCCGACCCGAGCACGUCAAACAGACGCCGAACGGACAGAGUUUCCCCUAUCCGCCCAAGGCUCAUCACAUGCACAUUUUCAUCAAUAGAGAAAAGCACUAGCGGAAACAUACACAACGGCUUACACGAGGGUAAGCAGUAGCCAUAAGUGAAAGAAAAGGAAACUAAACAUUCUACACAAGUAAUAUGAUUCAUUUUAGAUCAUAUACAUUGCAUCCAUCUCUUACAUUUAGAAUUCUUUGCAGUUCUUACAUAAUCUCAUCAUUUCUUUCUUACAACACAUUUACCUCAAAAUAAGCUUUACAUUCUUUUNN
rnacentral:lncRNA from 1 species